rnacentral:rRNA from 1 species
UGGGGAAUAUUGCACAAUGGAGGAAACUCUGAUGCAGCAACGCCGCGUGGGGGAAGAAGGUCUUCGGAUUGUAAACCUUUGUCCUUGGGGACGAUAAUGACGGUAGCGAAGGAGGAAGCGCCGGCUAACUACGUGAAAGCAGCCGCGGUAAUAGAACG